rnacentral:rRNA from 1 species
GGAAUAUUGGACAAUGGGCGCAAGCCUGAUCCAGCCAUGCCGCGUGGGUGAAGAAGGCCUGCGGGUUGUAAAGCACUUUUAUCAGGAAAGAACCUGCCUGGAGAUAAUACCCCCAGGCACUGACGGUACCUUAGGAAUAACCACCGGCUAACUCCGUGCCAGCAGCCGCGGUAAUACGGAGGGUGCAAGCGUUAACCGGAAUUACUGGGCGUAAAGCGAGUGUAGGCGGCUACGUAAGUCGGUUGUGAAAUCCCCGGGCUUAACCUGGGAAUUGCGUUCGAUACUGCGUGGCUAGAGUCUGAUAGAGGGAAGUGGAAUUCCAGGUGUAGCGGUGAAAUGCGUAGAUAUCUGGAGGAACAUCAGUGGCGAAGGCGGCUUCCUGGAUCAAGACUGACGCUCAGGCUCGAAAGCGUGGGUAGCAAAC